GGGCACAUGGUGUAGUUGGUUUAUCACGCCCGCUUAGCAUGGCUUUGUCUGAAUUUGCGAUGCGGGAGGUGUUGGGUUCAAUUCCCAAUGUGUCCA